AUAGCGGAGGAGCGGCAGUCUGGGGGUCCAGCCCAAAACUUGAACCAACCUCUCAGGGAAGAUGCUCAAAACACGCGGAGGGAGUGAGUUUUCCUGCGACAACCCACACAGGAAGGAUUAUCUGGGAGAUGUUGCCAGCACAACUGCUAAUGCCCUGUAAUGCUUUCUGCAAAUUGGAAACAAGCGGACACUGCCAGUGCUAGUGGGCCCCACAACCAUCAGCUUAAAGCUUUAGACCUAAUCAUGGUGAGAGGAAACCAGAGUACCCAAAAGAAUACAGGGCUGAAGUGAACCCACAAGACUCUUGGUCCCUCAGCAACAAAACUCACCAGACAGUUCGAGUAUGGUGAUGCUGAGGUCAGUGAUGAUGGGCAGAUGGGACAUGCCAAUGUCUUUGCAGAAAAUGCGACCCCCACCCAGCUGACAUUCUUCUGGCAACAAGUCUGUGAAGCUAUCUCUGGACGCAGUACUGUUAUUAGCAGCUUCAUUCUCCUCAUUUUCCUCUUCUUCUUCUUCUUGUCCUUCCUCCUCCCCUUCCUCUUCCUCCUCCUCUUCUUCUUCUUCUUCUUCCUCUUCAUCGUCAUCUUCUUCCUCCUCAUCUUCAUCAUCAUCUCCCUUCUUCCUCUUUGCUUGCUCUUCGCCCAGGUCCAGGAGGCGUUUCUUCUCCUCUCUGAGCUCCUGAAGAAUUGCGCUUAAUUUACCUGGAGCUCCACCUCUCCUUUCCAGGACAGCGUUUAGCUCCACCCACACAGCCUCGGUUCGCCCUAGAGAGGUCUGAUGUGUCAGCAGCACAGACAGGCAGGCCCAGGAACACAGAGCCCAUCAUUAGACAUCAAAUACUGACAUUACGGCAAGUGCCACAAAAAUACAAACACGCCAAAUUUAGAGAGCAAAUAGCAGAGAGCAAAAAAAGAAUGAUGGAAAUUGGUGAGAUGGAAAGCAGCAGCAGCAGAGGGCAGAAAGUGACCAGCACUCUCAUUAUAAUGUGGGCACACCAUACUGAGCUUAGAUCAAGCCCACACUAAAAGAUCUAAAAGAUUUGGGCCCUUUAAUAGACAUACAUUUGGGAAAGCUUUGAUACAACUGUGCUCACAGCUAUUUACGUUCCUUAAUUUAUAUGUACUUAGUGACAAAGUUUAAAAAAAAAAAGCCCAGAGGAGCAUAAAGAUGAGAAAAACAAGCCAAGUCUGCCUGCUGGUUGGCAGAAAAUAUAUUUUUUCAGUAUGUCCAGUCCCACCUGUGUGUCUGCAGCCGUCUCCUUAGAGUGCCCCUUUCUCUGGCUCCAGUCUGCCCCAUUCCCUCCUAUAGGAACACAUGUAUGAUUUAACACACUGUUAUCAACACGGAGUAGCAGCCAGACACAAAACACGGUUUUGUACAAAAACAGUGAGUCAGGAGGUAGAUCAGAAACACCAAAAAACAGAACUUUGUGAGCCACAUCAUUGUAAAACUGACAAAAAAAAGACAAAACUCUGCACUGUGAAUUUUAACGUGUUCAAUAAAACCUACAAACAUAUAA